AACGAACGCUGGCGGCAUGCCUAACACAUGCAAGUCGAACGAGACCUUCGGGUCUAGUGGCGCACGGGUGCGUAACGCGUGGGAACCUGCCCUUAGGUUCGGAAUAACUCCCCGAAAGGGGUGCUAAUACCGGAUAAUGUCUUCGGACCAAAGAUUUAUCGCCUUUGGAUGGGCCCGCGUUGGAUUAGCUAGUUGGUAGGGUAAAAGCCUACCAAGGCGACGAUCCAUAGCUGGUCUGAGAGGAUGAUCAGCCACACUGGGACUGAGACACGGCCCAGACUCCUACGGGAGGCAGCAGUGGGGAAUAUUGGACAAUGGGCGAAAGCCUGAUUCAGCAAUGCCGCAUGAGUGAUGAAGGCCUUAGGGUUGUAAAGCUCUUUUACCCGGGAUGAUAAUGACAGUACCGGGAGAAUAAGCUCCGGCUAACUCCGUG
rnacentral:rRNA from 1 species